AAUCAUCAAAAAUCUUUUUCUUUGAAAAGGAUUUUUGGACUUGGAGGUUUCAUGCUUGCUUUUGCCUUUGAAAGCGAGCUCCUCUGAAAUAAAUUAGUGGGGUCCGCUUUGCUGAUCCUUAAUGUGAUAAGAUGUUUCUACAUUUUGGAUUUAGCACUGUCCCUUGGACACCUGCUCCUAACUAGUUGUCCCUUGGACAAUGAUGGUGCUCCUGGUCACCGCCAUCCACAUUGGCGGGAGGCUGGACCCACAAAAGAAAAA
rnacentral:misc_RNA from 1 species